UACAAUAUUAUAAACAUACAAAUGUAAUAAAAAUUAUUGUUCGCGAAUAUUCAAUUUGGAAUGCGAUUUUGUUAAUAAAAAAAAUACUUAUAACUUAUGCAAAACCCAAGAGAGGCAUUUAUAUUUAUUUCUUUUGCGUUCAUUUUCAAAUUCGCCGUGCAUAUAUUUUUGUGCAUGGCGCUUGAGAGGGCAUCACGUGACUAAAAACGACCAACCAACGACCUCGCUUCGGCCAUCUUGGCAUCUUCAUCUUGGCCACCUUGCUUUGCCGUGGGUGGAUCGUUGUUUGUAAUAUUUGUGCUUUUUAAGAAUAUUUUUUUAAUUCGGAUACUUUUAUAAUAGCUUUAAUAGUAUUAUUAACAUAGUGAAUAAAAUGGUGUCCUGUUUUUAACGCAGUUGGAGUAGCAGAAACAAAUGUAGAUAAAAAAAUCUGCAGGAAUAACGUUUCAUUCAAUUAUGACCGAAGCUCUAAACAAAUGACUGUGAAUGAAAAGCCCUAUUAAAAGCUUUCCAGAAGAUCCUGCGAAGAAGACAUGAAGUAUAGAUCAGAUUUGUUAAUAGAGGAGUAUGUUCAAAACACUUUUUAGAAAAAGAUAUUGACAGAACUUCACUUUCAUCUGUUCGUUUAAGAGACUGUGCUGUUCCAAUAGCUUAUGUCACACAGAAUCAGCUGAGAGAAGUGGUCUACAAAAAACCAGAAAGGAAACGGAAUAUGUGGCUACGAAAAGCAAAAGAAAGGUUUACAAAGCAAACGUGACACAUUUUUUUAUAAUAUUUAGGAAUGUCAGUAAAUUACAUUAAAAAAUGUAUGUAAAGAUUUUUUGCAAUAAAAAUGUUUAUAUUUAUCAAGGAUGUAUUAUUUGGUAUGGCCACAUAUCGUCAGUGAUGUGACAAUACCUCCUAUCUGUUUUUUUCAAGAGAUUUGUAAGAUAGACUAAAAACUUGUUUCGGCCACCUCCUGUUUUCAUAUAUUUUUUGACUUGUUUUGCAGUAAAUUCAACUAUCUAUUUACUACAAAAAAGUCAGAAUACGUACGAAAACAGAAAGUGACCUUA